GGAAAGGUGUCCGAGUGGUUGAAGGAAGCGGUCUUGAAAACCGUCGAGCCUCUAAAGCUCCGUGGGUUCGAAUCCCACCCUUUCCGCCA
rnacentral:tRNA from 1 species